rnacentral:tRNA from 1 species
GGCACUGUGGCUUAGUUGGUUAAAGUUCCUGUCUCCUAAACAGGAGAUCUGGGUUUAAUUCCCAGCGGUGCCU